rnacentral:rRNA from 1 species
UACAGAGGUCCCAAGCGUUGUUCGGAUUCAUUGGGCGUAAAGGGUGCGUAGGCGGCGCGGUAAGUCGGGUGUGAAAUCUCGGGGCUUAACUCCGAAACUGCAUUCGAUACUGCCGUGCUUGAGGACUGGAGAGGAGACUGGAAUUUACGGUGUAGCGGUGAAAUGCGUAGAUAUCGUAAGGAAGACCAGUGGCGAAGGCGACUACCUGGCCUGUUCUUGACGCUGAGGCGCGAAAGCUAGGGGAGCAAACAGG